AUUCCAGCUCCAAUAGCGUAUAUUAAAGUUGUUGCGGUUAAAAAGCUCGUAGUUGGAUUUCUGCCGAGGACGACCGGUCCGCCCUCUGGGUGAGUAUCUGGCUCGGCCUGGGCAUCUUCUUGGAGAACGUAGCUGCACUUGACUGUGUGGUGCGGUAUCCAGGACUUUUACUUUGAGGAAAUCAGAGUGUUUCAAGCAGGCAUACGCCUUGAAUACAUUAGCAUGGAAUAAUAAGAUAGGACUUUGGUUCUAUUUUGUUGGUUGGAGGCCAAGGUAAUGAUUAAUAGGGAUAGUUGGGGGUAUUCAUAUUUAAUUGUCAGAGGUGAAAUUCUUGGAUUUAUGAAAGAUGAACUCAUGCGAAAGCAUUUACCAAGGAUGUUUUCAUCG
rnacentral:rRNA from 1 species